rnacentral:rRNA from 1 species
GCUCGCCAGCGAACUACAAGCACCCCGCUUGAAACCCAAAGGACUUGACGGUGUCCCAUACCAACCUAGAGGAGCCUGUCCUAUAAUCGAUACCCCACGCUUUACCUCUCCCUCUCUGGCACCCCAGCUUAUAUACCGCCGUCGUCAGUCUGCCUGCUGACAGUCCACAAAGCCGACACAACAGUUACUCACAAAAACGUCAGGUCAAGGUGUAGCUGAUGAGAGGGCUUUAGAUGGGCUACAUUUCUUAUACUAAGAAAUACCAAACACACCAUGAAAUAUAAGUUUAAAGACGGAUUUAGCAGUAAGCACGGAUAAGACAUACCCUCCUGAA